rnacentral:rRNA from 1 species
UGGGCAACCUGCCCUCAGCUCUGGGAUAAACCCCGGGAAACCGGGGCUAAUACCGGAUACGACCUCCGCGGGCAUCUGCGGAGGUGGAAAGGUUUUCCGGCUGAGGAUGGGCCCGCGGCCUAUCAGCUAGUUGGUGGGGUGAUGGCCCACCAAGGCGACGACGGGUAGCCGGCCUGAGAGGGUGACCGGCCACACUGGGACUGAGACACGGCCCAGACUCCUACGGGAGGCA